CCAGCUUUUGCUCCUUUGGCGAUGAUGAUAUAGAAACCUCUUUCCCAUGGAGUUUUAGUUGAGUUUGAGAGUUACUGGUCGAAUUCGGUGAAGUGAUGGCAACACCCUUCUCCUUCCAUUCUUGUUCCUGUCCUUGCCAUUCUGGAACCAUCAUCUCGCUCCUCCAUUGGAAUCUCCAAAUCCCAUUGGUAUUUGCCAAAAAAUUCAUCCUCCUGAGAUGGUCGGAAUAUGUCGAGCAUCAACCCUUUCAAUUAUCUCUAAGUUUGAACGGUCCGUUGUCGAUCGACCUCCUGAAACCAAUUCCAUGUUCGGCAGUCAAAGCUGGCUGUUGUAGCCUCUAUUUUCUCCAUCUCUGAUAACUGAUUUCUGGAAAAAAUCUUUUCCGCCUCCGACACCCACUCGUUUGUGUUUUCACCAUAGAAUAUUGAAAUUUUUAGUCGGCCACCCUAAUCAUUGUACCGAUCUCCUUCCCGUUGCAUUACCAUCUUCUCCCACCGAUUGAAUAUUGAACUCCAUUUCUCCUUCCACUCGCUUCUAAAGUUUGAUUCCAUUCGUCCGAGAAUCGAUAGCUCUGAUACCAAUUUGAUGGAAACUUGGAAAGUUGUCGAUGAAUUUGUUCUAGUCCUAUAAGCUACUGAUUAAUGAUUUGGUUAGAUAGUAGAUUUAUUAGCUGGAAUGUAAAGGAAAUUGAGAAGUGUAUUGGUGAAAUGGAUAUAUGUAUUGAAUUGAAGAUUUUAAGAACAAUUAUU
rnacentral:lncRNA from 1 species